rnacentral:rRNA from 1 species
GACGAACGCUGGCGGCGUGCUUAACACAUGCAAGUCGAACGGUAAGGCCCUUCGGGGUACACGAGUGGCUAACGGGUGAGUAACACGUGGGUGAUCUGCCCUGCACUUCGGGAUAAGCCUGGGAAACUGGGUCUAAUACCGGAUAGGACCACUGCCUGCAUGGGUGGUGGUGGAAAGCUUUUGAGGUGUGGGAUGGGCCCGCGGCCGAUCAGCUUGUUGGUGGGGUGAUGGCCUACCAAGGCGACGACGGGUAGCCGGCCUGCGAGGGUGACCGGCCACACUGGGAAUGAGAUACGGCCCAGACUCCUACGGGAGGCAGCAGUGGGGAAUAUUGCACAAUGGGCGUAAGCCUGAUGCAGCGACGCCGCGUGAGGGAUGACGGCCUUCGGGUUGUAAACCUCUUUCAGCACCGACGAAGCGCAAGUGACGGUAGGUGCAGAAGAAGGACCGGCCAACUACGUGCCAGCCGCCGCCGUAAUAC